rnacentral:rRNA from 1 species
CAAUGAUAAAAUUCAAUAGCCGCAAAUUUUUUAUGUGCUAAGGUAGCAUAAUCAUUUGUUUUUUAAUUAAAAACUAGAAUGAAAGGUUAUACAUUCAAAUUUCUUUAUUAAUUUUUUAUAAAUAAUUUAUAUUAAAUAUAAAAAUAUAUUUUUAAAAAAAAAAGACGACAAGACCCUAUUAAAUUUAACUUAUAGUUUAGCUGGGGAAGCUUUUUAAAUAAAAUUUUCAUAAAAAUUUAUAAAAAUAUAUUUAAUAAAAUUAAAAUUAAAAUAAAUUACUAUAGGGAUAACAGCGUUAUAUUUUUUAAAAGUUCUUAUUUAAAAAAAUAAUUGCGACCUCGAUGUUGAAUUAUAUUUUCUA